UGCAAGUCGAGUGCGCGUCCGUAGCAAUACGGAUGGCGCACGGCGCACGGGUGCGUAACACGUGGGCAAUCUGCCCUUCGAUGGGGAAUAACUCCGGGAAACCGAAGCUAAUUCCGCAUAACAUUCCUUGGACCUCGGUUCGAGGACUCAAAGCCGUAAGGCGUCGAAGGAGGAGCCCGCGCCCGAUUAGCUAGUUGGUGAGGUAACGGCUCACCAAGGCAAUGAUCGGUAGCUGGUCUGAGAGGAUGGCCAGCCACACUGGAACUGAGACACGGUCCAGACUCCUACGGGAGGCAGCAGUGGGGAAUCUUGCGCAAUGGGCGAAAGCCUGACGCAGCGACGCCGCGUGGGGGAUGAAGCAUCUCGGUGUGUAAACCCCUUUCGACUGGGACGAAUACCUCGCAAGAGGGGUGACGGUACCAGUAGAAGAAGCCCCGGCUAACUACGUGCCAGCAGCCGCGGUAAGACGUAGGGGGCCAGCGUUGUUCGGAAUUACUGGGUGUAAAGGGUUCGUAGGCGGUGUGGCAAGUCGGGAGUGAAAUCUAUGGGCUUAACCCAUAGGCUGCUUCCGAAACUGCCGUGCUUGAGUGUGGGAGAGGCGCGUGGAAUUGCAGGUGUAGCGGUGAAAUGCGUAGAUAUCUGCAGGAACACCCGUGGCGAAAGCGGCGCGCUGGACCACUACUGACGCUGAGGAACGAAAGCUAGGGGAGCAAACAGGAUUAGAUACCCUGGUAGUCCUAGCCCUAAACGAUCAGGACUUGGGGUGCACCCGUUCGGGUGUCGUCCCGGAGCUAACGCGUUAAGUCCUGCACCUGGGGAGUACGGUCGCAAGACUGAAACUCAAA
rnacentral:rRNA from 1 species